AAAGGAAUUGACGGGGGCCCGCACAAGCGGUGGAGCAUGUGGUUUAAUUCGAUGCAACGCGAAGAACCUUACCGGGGCUUGACAUUACCCCUAAAGCCAUGGAAACAUGGUGUGUUUUUCCAAACAAGAGGUAACAGGUGGUGCAUGGUUGUCGUCAGCUCGUGUCGUGAGAUGUUGGGUUAAGUCCCGCAACGAGCGCAACCCCUGCUUUUAGUUGCCAGCACGUAACGGUGGGCACUUUAAAGGGACUGCCGCAGAUAAUGCGGAGGAAGGUGGGGAUGACGUCAAAUCCUCAUGCCCCUUAUGUCCCGGGCUACACACGUGCUACAAUGGCCGGUACAGAGGGUAGCAAACCCGCGAGGGGGAGCCAAUCCCUUAAAGCCGGUCCCAGUUCAGAUUGCACUCUGCAACUCGAGUGCAUGAAGCAGGAAUCGCUAGUAAUCGCGGAUCAGAAUGCCGCGGUGAAUACGUUCCCGGGCCUUGUACACACCGCCCGU
rnacentral:rRNA from 1 species